rnacentral:rRNA from 1 species
UGGGGGAUAUUGCACAAUGGGGGAAACCCUGAUGCAGCAACGCCGCGUGAAGGAAGAAGGUCUUCGGAUUGUAAACUUCUGUCCUCAGGGAAGAUAAUGACGGUACCUGAGGAGGAAGCUCCGGCUAACUACGUGCCAGCAGCCGCGGUAAUACGUAGGGAGCGAGCGUUGUCCGGAUUUACUGGGUGUAAAGGGUGCGUAGGCGGAUCUGCAAGUCAGUAGUGAAAUCCCAGGGCUUAACCCUGGAACUGCUAUUGAAACUGUGGGUCUUGAGUGAGGUAGAGGCAGGCGGAAUUCCCGGUGUAGCGGUGAAAUGCGUAGAGAUCGGGAGGAACACCAGUGGCGAAGGCGGCCUGCUGGGCCUCAACUGACGCUGAGGCACGAAAGCAUGGGUAGCAAACAGGAUUAGAUACC